rnacentral:lncRNA from 1 species
CGGGGCCUGAGCUGGCCUCUCCUGCUGUUGCUACUGCUGCUGCUUGAGCUGCUGGCCUCAGGAGUGCAGGAAACAUGGGGUCACUGGGGAACUGAGAACAGCCACACUGGCAUAGUCGACACCUUUUGCUGGAGCAUCCAUAGCCUGUUAUGAAAAGGCAAUAUCUGCUGCUCAAAAGAUCUUGACCUGGCUCACCAAGAGGUUUGUGUUGGGAGUACAUAUGUUUCUACGGACAUUGUGGAGAGUCUAGUAAGAGCUUUUGGAUGUUCUUGGACUUGACAUCUCCAACCUGUCCCAGCAUUUCAACCCAGCCUCAGUGGCCAGCAGCCUAGCCUAGGCCCUUCUUUUGGUCAGUGCCAGCUGCUUGGCCUACUGAUUCUAGUUUCUGACCCCGGACAUAACCUUCAAAGCACUGCAUCUGGUGUUCAGCACUUCUUCUGGAUCGUGUGGACCAUCCUGUUCUCCAGGUCCUGCAAGCACAUUCUGCACAAGGAUAAGGCAUUCUAAAAGCUAAGCCUUGGAAUUCUGUUGAAAAUCACUCAGCCAUAAAAUAAAAGACACCUGAGAAGAUUCCUAAACUCACUCUGGGAAAGAGAAAGGUCACGGAGCCACAGAGGCUGGACCUCUAGCAGCAGAGGACACUGAAGACUGAAGACGAGAAGCGGAGCUCCAACUGCAGCCAGAGACAAAGGCCCCGCCACAUCCCGGAAGCCACCCUGUCCUCUCCUGCCCCGUGCCUGAUUGGAUGGUUUCCAGCCCAGCGUCCCUGAUUGGAUAACUUCUAAGGUCCUGCCCCCGCAAACCCUGAAUGAAAGAUGUGAUCAGACGCUGGGCUGAAAGAAUAAAGAAUGACAGCCUAGGCUGCCGCCUUUUCAGGCAGGGCUUCCUCCCUGAGCAGAGCAGGCCCAACCCAGAGGGUAUUUGCCUUUAACCUUGUGUAUAAGGUCAUCUUCACUUAUAAGUAAUAUACUAUAUGGCUACUAAAAAAUGAAACUAAUUGUUUUUGAAUUUCAGCUUUUAUGACCUUCCUGG